UGAUGAUGCUAUACUCUACACUUAUGUGCAGAUACCGAAGCAGCAUUUGGGCAACAAUAUUAGUUCGGGAGCUAGCCUUAAGUCCACCUAGACUCAGAUGUAACCUUGUAGGCGUACGCAGGCCUGACGUCUCCUCUAUCUUAUAUUUCCUUCUGUUAUCUCAUGUAUUCGAGACAAACAAUAUUUUGUUUCUUUCAAACAAUUGUAUUUAGCACUCUUAGUAGUCUGUGGAUGUUGUGACACCAGGUGUUUGGUAGAUACUUGUGUUAAUUUUCUA
rnacentral:lncRNA from 1 species